CCCUUAGAUGUUCUGGGCCGCACGCGCGCUACACUGAUGCAUUCAACGAGUCUAAAACCUGGUCUGAUAGGGCUGGGUAAUCUUUUGAAAGUGCAUCGUGAUUGGGAUAGAUGAUUGCAAUUCUUCAUCCUCAACGAGGAAUGCCUAGUAAACGCAAGUCAUCAGCUUGCAUUGAUUACGUCCCUGCCCUUUGUACACACCGCCCGUCGCUCCUACCGAUUGAAUGAUCCGAUGAAUACCAUGGAUUGAGAGUACGAAUGGGUUCGCUCAUUUCUGCUGCUCGAGAAGUGGAGUAAAUCUUAUCAUUUAGAGGAAGGAGAAGUCGUAACA
rnacentral:rRNA from 1 species